GCAGACACAUUCCAGCCAAUCAGCAGCAGACCCUCCCUCCCAGACCCUCCCACCUCCUGGACAGCUCACUAAGAAUGCAGCUUCACAAUGAAUGUAAAAUGGAUGCUGUCCAGAAGUUGGGAGGGUGUGGGAGGGAGGGUCUGCUGCUGAUUGGCUGGAAUGUGUCUG